AGUUUGAUCAUGGCUCAGGACGAACGCUGGCGGCGUGCUUAACACAUGCAAGUCGAACGAUGAACCAGGGCUUGCCCUGGGGAUUAGUGGCGAACGGGUGAGUAACACGUGGGCAACCUGCCCCUGACUCUGGGAUAACUCCGGGAAACCGGGGCUAAUACCGGAUACGAGCUUCGACGACAUCGUCGAGGCUGGAAAGUUUUUCGGUCAGGGAUGGGCCCGCGGCCUAUCAGCUUGUUGGUGGGGUAAUGGCCCACCAAGGCGACGACGGGUAGCCGGCCUGAGAGGGCGACCGGCCACACUGGGACUGAGACACGGCCCAGACUCCUACGGGAGGCAGCAGUGGGGAAUAUUGCGCAAUGGGCGAAAGCCUGACGCAGCGACGCCGCGUGAGGGACGACGGCCUUCGGGUUGUAAACCUCUUUCAGCAGGGACGAAGCGAAAGUGACGGUACCUGCAGAAGAAGCACCGGCCAACUACGUGCCAGCAGCCGCGGUAAUACGUAGGUGCAAGCGUUGUCCGGGAAUUAUUGGGCGUAAAGAGCUCGUAGCGGUUGUCACGUCGGAUGUGAAAACUCGGGGCUCACUCGAGUCUGCAUACGAUACGGGCAGACUUGAGUCGCAGGGGAGACUGGCAUUCCUGGUGUAGCGGUGAAAUGCGCAGAUUUCAGAGGAACACCGGUGGCGAGGCGGUCUCUGGUCGAUACUGACCUGAGGAGCGAGCUGGGGAGCGAACAG
rnacentral:rRNA from 1 species